rfam:Myotis brandtii contig307444, whole genome shotgun sequence.
GGGGGUUUUCGGGUGAUGCACCCUGGAAUCGGGCUCCCUCCUCUUGGGUUCUAGGUGCAUCACCUGAGAACUACA